rnacentral:rRNA from 1 species
UACAGAGGGUGCGAGCGUUGUCCGGAAUCACUGGGCGUAAAGGGCGCGUAGGUGGUGGCUUAAGCGUGCGGUGAAAGCUCGGGGCUCAACUCCGAGUCGGCCGUGCGAACUGGGCUCACUGGAGCAUAGUAGAGGCAGGUGGAAUUCCGGGUGUAGCGGUGGAAUGCGUAGAGAUCCGGAAGAACACCGGUGGCGAAGGCGGCCUGCU